rnacentral:rRNA from 1 species
UACGAAGGGGGCUAGCGUUGCUCGGAAUCACUGGGCGUAAAGGGUGCGUAGGCGGGUCUUUUAAGUCAGGGGUGAAAUCCUGGAGCUCAACUCUAGAACUGCCUUUGAUACUGAAGAUCUUGAGUUCGGGAGAGGUGAGUGGAACUGCGAGUGUAGAGGUGAAAUUCGUAGAUAUUCGCAAGAACACCAGUGGCGAAGGCGGCUCACUGGCCCGAUACUGACGCUGAGGCACGAAAGCGUGGGGAGCAAACAGGG